rnacentral:rRNA from 1 species
CCUACGGGAGGCUGCAGUGGGGAAUAUUGGACAAUGGGGGGAACCCUGAUCCAGCCAUGCCGCGUGUGUGAAGAAGGCCCUCGGGUUGUAAAGCACUUUCAGUGAGGAAGAACGCCUGGUGGUUAAUACCCAUCAGGAAAGACAUCACUCACAGAAGAAGCACCGGCUAACUCCGUGCCAGCAGCCGCGGUAAUACGGAGGGUGCGAGCGUUAAUCGGAAUUACUGGGCGUAAAGCGCGCGUAGGUGGCUUGAUAAGCCGGUUGUGAAAGCCCCGGGCUCAACCUGGGAACGGCAUCCGGAACUGUCAAGCUAGAGUGCAGGAGAGGAAGGUAGAAUUCCCGGUGUAGCGGUGAAAUGCGUAGAGAUCGGGAGGAAUACCAGUGGCGAAGGCGGCCUUCUGGACUGACACUGACACUGAGGUGCGAAAGCGUGGGUAGCAAACAGGAUUAAUACCCUUGUAGUC